GACGAACGCUGGCGGCGUGCUUAACACAUGCAAGUCGAACGGAAAGGCCCUGCUUUUGUGGGGUGCUCGAGUGGCGAACGGGUGAGUAACACGUGAGUAACCUGCCCUUGACUUUGGGAUAACUUCAGGAAACUGGGGCUAAUACCGGAUAGGAGCUCCUGCUGCAUGGUGGGGGUUGGAAAGUUUCGGCGGUUGGGGAUGGACUCGCGGCUUAUCAGCUUGUUGGUGGGGUAGUGGCUUACCAAGGCUUUGACGGGUAGCCGGCCUGAGAGGGUGACCGGCCACAUGGGGACUGAGAGACGGCCCAGACUCCUACGGGAGGCAGUAGUGGGGAAUAUUGCACAAUGGGCGGAAGCCUGAUGCAGCAACGCCGCGUGCGGGAUAACGGCCUUCGGGUUGUAAACCGCUUUCGCCUGUGACGAAGCGUGAGUGACGGUAAUGGGUAAAGAAGCACCGGCUAACUACGUG
rnacentral:rRNA from 1 species